GCCCCGAGGUGAUUUACAUGUUGAAUUGCAAGUUCAAAGGAGCAGCUAGGUC
rnacentral:tRNA from 1 species